CCAUGCCGAACACAGAAGUUAAGCUUCUUAGCGCCGAUUGUAGUGAGGGGUUGCCCCUUGUGAGAGUAGGACGUCGCCA
rnacentral:rRNA from 1 species